AGAGUUUGAUCCUGGCUCAGAUUGAACGCUGGCGGCAUGCUUUACACAUGCAAGUCGAACGGCAGCGCGGGCUUCGGCCUGGCGGCGAGUGGCGAACGGGUGAGUAAUACAUCGGAACGUGCCCAGUAGUGGGGGAUAGCUCGGCGAAAGCCGGAUUAAUACCGCAUACGACCUGAGGGUGAAAGCGGGGGAUCUUCGGACCUCGCGCUAUUGGAGCGGCCGAUGGCAGAUUAGCUAGUUGGUGGGGUAAAGGCCUACCAAGGCGACGAUCUGUAGCUGGUCUGAGAGGACGACCAGCCACACUGGGACUGAGACACGGCCCAGACUCCUACGGGAGGCAGCAGUGGGGAAUUUUGGACAAUGGGCGCAAGCCUGAUCCAGCCAUGCCGCGUGUCUGAAGAAGGCCUUCGGGUUGUAAAGGACUUUUGUCAGGGAAGAAAAGGGCGGGGUUAAUACCCCUGUCUGAUGACGGUACCUGAAGAAUAAGCACCGGCUAACUACGUGCCAGCAGCCGCGGUAAUACGUAGGGUGCGAGCGUUAAUCGGAAUUACUGGGCGUAAAGCGAGCGCAGACGGUUACUUAAGCAGGAUGUGAAAUCCCCGGGCUCAACCUGGGAACUGCGUUCUGAACUGGGUAGCUAGAGUAUGUCAGAGGGGGGUAGAAUUCCACGUGUAGCAGUGAAAUGCGUAGAGAUGUGGAGGAAUACCGAUGGCGAAGGCAGCCUCCUGGGAUAACACUGACGUUCAUGCCCGAAAGCGUGGGUAGCAAACAGGAUUAGAUACCCUGGUAGUCCACGCCCUAAACGAUGUCGAUUAGCUGUUGGGCAGCAUGACUGCUUAGUAGCGAAGCUAACGCGUGAAAUCGACCGCCUGGGGAGUACGGUCGCAAGAUUAAAACUCAAAGGAAUUGACGGGGACC
rnacentral:rRNA from 1 species